AAUCGGCGUACGAUAAGGAGUACGAGUUACUCAUCAUUGAGCCGAGGGGGAUGAGCCUCAGUAACAGCAGUCGCAAGACUGGAAAACUGAAACAUACAUCGUUGGGUAGAGUUUGGUAGGUUUCCCUUUAUUGGGAUUCUCGAAGAAGUUGGGCCCA
ncrna:unclassified sequences RT-3 RNA